AUUGAACGCUGGCGGCAGGCCUAACACAUGCAAGUCGAGCGGCAGCGCGGGGCAACCUGGCGGCGAGCGGCGAACGGGUGAGUAAUACAUGGGAAUCUGCCUGGUAGUGGGGGAUAACUCUGGGAAACUAGAGGUAAUACCGCAUACGUCCUACGGGAGAAAGCGGGGGAUCUUCGGACCUCGCGCUAUCAGAGGAGCCCAUGUCCGAUUAGCUAGUUGGUGAGGUAAAGGCUCACCAAGGCGACGAUCGGUAACUGGUCUGAGAGGAUGGUCAGUCACACUGGAACUGAGACACGGUCCAGACUCCUACGGGAGGCAGCAGUGGGGAAUAUUGGACAAUGGGGGCAACCCUGAUCCAGCCAUGCCGCGUGUGUGAAGAAGGCCUCGGUUG
rnacentral:rRNA from 1 species